UUAUCGCUGCGCACUUCAGUAUUUUUGUACAAUCAGAGCCAUUGAGGUGAAUUCUUGUCUUUUCCAUUCGGUUUCGUUUUGAUAAGUCGCCUUCUGCACCAGUGAGUGUAAAGGCUGGACUAUCGCGAGGACAUACGCUCUACACUUGAAUAAUUUCAAUUAUUAUCGUCAAAGUAUCUGUGAUUUAUUGUAGACUAAACAUGAAGGCUGUUAUGCUUGCCGUCGUUUCGUUCCUGGCCGUCUUCGCCCCGGCUUUGGCCACCCAAUGUUCCGUAGCGCCAGUGAACGUGCCAAAGGAAUGGAUCACGAUCCACGGCACGUGCCGCUCGGCCAUGCGCCGUCAGAUCCAGAUGGAAGUUCGCGCCUCAUUACAGUAUCUGGCCAUGGGAGCCCACUUCUCUAGGGAUGGGGUGAACAGGCCAGGCUUCGCCAAGUUGUUCUUCGACGCGGCCUCUGAGGAACGUGAACACGCGCUGAAGCUGAUCGACUACCUGCUCAUGCGAGGAGAGCUCACCCAUGAUGUGUCCUCACUCAUCAAGAUCAGGCCUCCGGAGAGCAAGACGUGGGAGGCCGGCGUAGACGCCCUGGAGCAGGCCCUGAUGAUGGAGAACGAGGUCACCAAGAGCAUCCGCACCGUCAUCGCGGCCUGCGAGGACGACCCAGAGUUCAACGACUACCACCUGGCCGACUACCUGACCGGUGAGUUCCUGGAGGAGCAAUACAAGGGCCAGCGCGACCUCGCCGGCAAGGCCACCACGCUCAAGAAAAUGAUGGACCGCCACUCCGCCCUUGGAGAGUUCCUGUUCGACAAGAAACUGCUCGGCAUGGACAUCUAAAUCUAAGCCUAAAUAGUGAUACCAUAGAGAAACGUCACCUGUCACUCCUGUCAGUCGGCCAUUUUGAAUUAUUCGCGGCAUUUUGUUUUUUAAGAAUCAUUGUACAAAUACAAAUAUUCUCCUGAAAUAAAGACCACCACCCUCAAGAAGAUGAUAGAUCGCCACUCCGCCCUUGGAGAAUUCUUGUUCGACAAGAAACUGCUUGGCAUGGAUAUUUGGCCUUUUAAAAAAUAGUGAUACCAUAGAGAAACAUCUAAAUCUAAGCCUAAAUAGUGAUACCGUAGAGAAACGUCACCUGUCAGUCGGCCAUUUUGAAUUAAACGCGGCAUUUUGUUUUUUAAAGAAUCAUUGUACGAAUAUUCUCCUCUAGACAAUGUUAGGCAAAGACAUCUAAGCCUUUGCCUUCUAACCAAUCUAAUAUUUUAAAAAUAUAGUUGUACCAUAACCUCACUGUCGGUCGGCCAUUCUGAACUCGCGGCAACAGCCUUUCAGCCAUGUUUUUUAUUUAGAAUCAUUGUACAAAUAUUCUGUAAAAAUUGUAAUUCGUACCAUAGAUAAUUCAGAACAACGCGUUCCUUUCAGUCGGCCAUUUUAACCAUUUCGCGCCAACUGUCAUUUUAGUCUUUUAUUGAAAAUACUUCAUUUAAUUUAAACUUAUGUACAAAUAUUGUAGUUGUAAGAAUUACAAACUCCUUGGCAUAUAAUAUCUAUGCCUAUGUAACCUAUUAAAAAAAGUUUAUCUACCAUAGAUUCAGUACAAGUAUGCAUUCUGUCAAUCGGACAUCUUUACCAAGACUUGUGCCGGUUGACAUUCAGCCAUUUUUUUUUAAAUAAAAAUACGUUUUAUUUAACAUUGUACAAAUAUAGUUGUAAGCAUUUUAUUACUCCACUAUAGUUAUGUAUUGAAAGUCAAUUUAAAUCUUAAAAUAGUGAUCAAGUAGAAGAUAUAUAUAUGUAACACAUUUUGGCGCCAAAUAUGGCCAUAGAGUAUUUGUUUUUUUUUAGAAUAGACGUUUAAAGCGCAGUGCUCAAUGUAUUUGUGUUACAACUGUUUAUUUUGUUUAAUUUGGUAUAUAAAUAAAGGUUAGUCAUCCAUUAA